UAGGGAAUAUUAGUAAUGGGCGAAAGCCUGAACUAGCAACACCGCGUGUGCGAAGAAGGCCUUCGGGUUGUAAAGCACUUUUUGAGAGGAUGAGGAAGGACGGUACUCUCAGAAUAAGUCUCGGCUAACUACGUGCCAGCAGCCGCGGUAACACGUAGGAGGCAAACGUUAUCCGGAUUUACUGGGCGUAAAGCGCGUGUAGGUGGUUUGGUAAGUAGAGCGUGAAAGCUCCUGGCUCAACUGGGAGAGGUCGUUCUAAACUGCCGGACUAGAGGAUGGUAGAGGGAGGUGGAAUUCCUAGUGUAGCGGUGAAAUGCGUAGAUAUUAGGAGGAACACCAGUUGCGAAGGCGGCUCUCUGGACUGUAACUGACACUGAGGCACGAAAGCGUGGGGAGCAAACA
rnacentral:rRNA from 1 species